AGUGAACGCUGGCGGUAGGCCUAACACAUGCAAGUCGAACGGCAGCACAGUAAGAGCUUGCUCUUACGGUUGGCGAGUGGCGGACGGGUGAGGAAUACAUCGGAAUCUACUUUUUCUUGGUGGAUAACGUAGGUAAACUUUCGCUAAUACCGCAUACUACCUACGGGUGAAAGCAGGGGAUCUUCGGACCUUGCGCGAUUGAAUGAGCCGAUGUCGGAUUAGCUAGUUGGCGGGGUAAAGGCCCACCAAGGCGACGAUCCGUAGCUGGUCUGAGAGGAUGAUCAGCCACACUGGAACUGAGACAAGGUCCAGACUCCUACGGGAGGCAGAAGUGGGGAAUAUUGGACAAUGGGCGCAAGACUGCUCCAGCCAUACCGCGUGAGUGAAGAAGGCCUUCGGGUUGUAAAGCCCUUUUGUUGGGAAAGAAAAGCAGCAGGUUAAUACCCCGAUGUUCUGACGGUACCCAAAGAAUAAGCACCGGCUAACUUCGUG
rnacentral:rRNA from 1 species